rnacentral:lncRNA from 1 species
GUGCAUUGUGUUUAUAAUGAAAAUAUUGAGAUAAAUUCAUUUGGAAAGAAAUAACAUAUUUUGAGAAUUUAUGAAAAUAUGUGAUGUGAUCAAAUUGUGAUUAAACAUGUAAAACUAGACAUGUAAUAUGGGUUGGACUAACCUUGUCAUGAGAUAGCCUCUACGAGCUUAUGCGUAGGAUAGCGGCCACGAGCUGAUGCGUGGGAUAGCCUCCACGGGCUUACGCGUGGGAUAGCCUCUACGAGCUUAUGCGUGGGUUGAUUGUGAACCCGGAAAACAAUCAUUGUAAGGUUGUGGUUGGUGAGCCUUUGGGGAAAACCAACCGGGUUGAUUGUGAACCCGGAAAACAAUCAUUGUAAGGUUGUGGUUGGUGAGCCUUUGGGAAAACCAACUGGGUUGGAUUGUGAGCCCGUGAAAACAAUCGGUUGGUUCUAGUCGGUGAGCCCAUGAAAAUCGACCGAGUUCGUUGUGAUCUCGCAAAACAACAAGUUGGGUUGUGAGCUUGUAAAACAACCGACUGUAAUCUAAGGGAUUAUAGUGAAAUUUUCAAGAGGUCUUGGGGAGUGGAUGUAGGUGCUGGGGUGCACCGAACCACUAUACAUCUUUGUGUUUGUGAUGCCUUAUCUCUUGUAUUUCAUGCCUUCCAUUCAUGCUUGAUUGUGUAAUAUCUCUAGCUUUGUUUUCUAUAGAGUUAUAAAUGAUUUGCUUAGCUUCCACUCCAUUCUUACCAUACACAUAGAUUAAAAUUGAUUAUACAACUAUAAGUUAGUUUUAGAUCAAUUGCACCCUAAAGCCAUAGUAUAAUUGCUCUAGCUUAAUCUUCCACUGCUUUACUUGUAAUUGCCUAGAGCUUAAGUAAAUAACAUCUUAUUAUUCCGCUGCAUUCUAUUCAAAGUAAAAAUUAGGGAACAUAAUUUUUAGAAAACCCAAUUCACCCCCCCUCUUGGGUUGUCACCUUGGGCAACACGUAGGAUAGCCUCCACGGGCUUACGCGUGGGAUAGCCUCUACGAGCUUAUGCAUAGGAUAGCCUCCACGGGCUUACGCGUGGGAUAGCUGCCACGAGCUUAUGCGUGGGAUUUGUGCAGUCUUGGACUGGGUCAUGAACUUGGUUAGUCCAAAGCCAGAAGUGAAAAGUCUGG